rnacentral:misc_RNA from 1 species
CUUCCCUUUUGCAUGAAUUCAUAAACUAGGAGAAGCUCCUUAUCUUCCCAACAGUAUCCUAUCAGCCUUACAAGGUUAGGAUGAUAAAGCCUUCCCAAGAAUUGUACCUCUGACUGCCAUUCUUCAAGUCCUUGCAAGCUCUCAGAAUUCAACUUUUUUACUGCAAUUAUAUUUCCGCUUCCACUUUUCCCUGUUGCCUUCUCAUCAAGCCAGCCUUUGAAGACUUUACCAAAUCCUCCCUCUCCAAGAACUGUGUCAGGUCUAAAAUUCUUGGUGGCAGCCCUCAAUUCUGCAAAAGAGAAUAUCCUCAAGUUGGGGGUGGGCAAGAUCUGCCCAUUUGGAAAAGCGACAUCACUGCUUCUCCCAGAAAAUUUGCUAUUCCCGGAGACGUUGCUACCCUGAGAAGACGCUGUAUUGGUACUCCGAGAGGAAGUUGUAUUGGUAGUUGUCUGAGAUAUCCCCGCUGAGCGGAGAUGAUCAGUGGUGGCAGGUGUAGGACUAGUAGUAGCUGGAGAACUCCAGCAAAUCCCCAUCAGAAAAAAACCAAUUGGAUUGUAUACAGACAAAAGAAAGAAAAGCUUAUUGAUGUUGGUGCUNGGUGCUGCAUCCAGCAUUCAAGAAUUCAAAGAAAGAAAGAAGGAAAACAGUGAAAAAAAGCUUCCUAUGAUGGUAUUGAUUACAGAGAAUUUUCAACUGGG